CGAUUGACACGACUCUCGGCAAUGGAUAUCUCGGCUCUCGCAUCGAUGAAGAGCGCAGCGAAAUGCGAUAUGUGGUGCGAAUUGCAGAAUCCCGCGAACCAUCGAGUCUUUGAACGCAAGUUGCGCCCGAGGCCAGCCGGCCAAGGGCACGUCUGCCUGGGCGUCAAG
rnacentral:rRNA from 1 species